rnacentral:rRNA from 1 species
GGGGGGAGUAUGGUCGCAAGGCCGAAACUUAAAGGAAUUGACGGAAGGGGCACCACCAGGAGUGGAAUCUGCGGCUUAAUUUGACCCCAACGCGGGAAAACUCACCAGGUCAGGACACGGUAAGGAUUGACGGACUGAAGGCUCUUUCUCGAUUCCGUGGAAAGUGGUGCAUGGCCGUUUUUGGUUGGUGGAUCGAUCCGUCUGGUUAAUUCCGUUAACGAACGAGACCUCGGCACUCCGAAUAGCGCGGCGGACGUCGCGGCCUCCGGGGCCGUCUUCCGCGCGAGCUUCUUAGAGGGACCGUCCCCCGCCGGGGAAGGAGGUGCGAGGCAACGACAGGUCUGUGAUGCCCUUAGAUGUUCUGGGCCGCACGCGCAUUACACUGACGCGUCCAACGGGUGACUCCCGACCCGAAGGGGCCGGGGAAUCCGCAAGGCGCGUCGUGAUGGGGAUUGAACGUUGCAAUUGUUGUUCACGAACGAGGAAUUCCUAGUAGGCGCGGGUCAUCAACCCGCGCCGAUUACGUCCCUG